CAGAGGAGAUAACAGAGCGAUUUUUUUUCACACAUCAUAAACACAACAGCAAGAUAUUUCAAAAAGCCCUAAAAACUAAACAGCGAACAUCAAACAUUUUUUCAAAAAUCCCAGAGAUUAAGAACAUCAAACAUAAAAUUUCCGAAAAAACCAGUGAAAGAUAAAACAGAAAGUUGAAACAGUUUUGUAAUCCAUAAUCCUCAUACGAAAACAGACAAAGAAGAAGGGUAGAGGAAGAAAACUUAUCC
rnacentral:lncRNA from 1 species